ensembl:snRNA U6 U6 spliceosomal RNA
AUGCUCACUUCCACAGCACAUACACUAAAAUUGGAAUGGUACAGAGAUUAUCAUGGCCCCAACACAAGAAUAACAUGCAAAUUUGUGAAGCAUUCCAUUUAUAA